UACAGAGGAGCCAAGCGUUGUCCGGAUUGACUGGGCGUAAAGCGCACGCAGGCGGACGCGCGCGUGGGGUGUGAAAUCUGGCCGCUUAACGGCCAGGCGCCAUCCCAUACGGCGCGUCUGGAGUGAUGCAGAGGUCGAUGGAAUUGCCGGUGUAGUGGUGAAAUGCGUAGAGAUCGGCAGGAACACCCAGGGGGAAACCAGUCGACUGGGCAUCUACUGACGCUGAGGUGCGAGGGCGUGGGGAGCGAACCGG
rnacentral:rRNA from 1 species